AGUGAACGCUGGCGGUAGGCCUAACACAUGCAAGUCGAACGGCAGCACAGUAAGAGCUUGCUCUUACGGGUGGCGAGUGGCGGACGGGUGAGGAAUACAUCGGAAUCUACUUUUUCGUGGGGGAUAACGUAGGGAAACUUACGCUAAUACCGCAUACGACCUACGGGUGAAAGCAGGGGAUCUUCGGACCUUGCGCGAUUGAAUGAGCCGAUGUCGGAUUAGCUAGUUGGCGGGGUAAAGGCCCACCAAGGCGACGAUCCGUAGCUGGUCUGAGAGGAUGAUCAGCCACACUGGAACUGAGACACGGUCCAGACUCCUACGGGAGGCAGCAGCGGGGAAUAUUGGACAAUGGGCGCAAGCCUGAUCCAGCCAUACCGCGUGGGUGAAGAAGGCCUUCGGGUUGUAAAGCCCUUUUGUUGGGAAAGAAAAGCAGCAGGUUAAUACCCCGCUGUUCUGACGGUACCCAAAGAAUAAGCACCGGCUAACUUCGUA
rnacentral:rRNA from 1 species